GAAUGCUCAGUGGCAGAGCAUCUGCUUGGCAUGCAGAGGGUCCAAGGUUCAACCCCCAGCUUCUCCA